UACAGAGGUCUCAAGCGUUGUUCGGAUUCAUUGGGCGUAAAGGGUGUGUAGGCGGGGUCGUUAGUCUUCUGUCAAAAUCUUGGGCUUAACCCAAGACUUGCAGUGGAACGGCGAGCCUUGAGGGUGCGAGGGGUGAAUGGAACUCAUGGAGUAGGGGUGAAAUCCGUUGAUAUCAUGGGGAACACCAAAAGCGAAGGCAAUUCACUGGCGCAUUUCUGACGCUGAAACACGAAAGCGUGGGUAGCGAACGGG
rnacentral:rRNA from 1 species